rnacentral:tRNA from 1 species
UCCCCUGUAAUUCAACUGGUAGAAUGCCACACUGUUAAUGUGGAAGUUGCAAGUUCGAGUCUUGCUGGGGGAGCCA